CAAAGAGCUGUUUACAGACAAAUAUGCAGACUAUGUAGAUGGUCAAUGCUUUACUUUUGAAAUGUACUACAAUUUUAAUUAUCAUUUGAUAAUGCAAUAUAAUAACUCACUGUUCUUCUGAGGUCCCAGUAACUGUUGCAGUAGACUUUGUCAAGAACCUGGUGUACUGUCUGUAACAGUGGUAUCGCACCUCCAUAGACACACAGUCUUUGUCCUGAAUAUGCACAAGAAUGCUAGUGUCUUCUUUCAUCUCAGCAGCUUUCUACAACUGGCCUGUGAAUAAAUAGAUAAAUAUAAUGAAACAAGUUUGUAAAUAAAAACCAUUAUGUAAAAACUGUUAAGAGUUAAGCAAUAUUGAGUGUUCUGGCUGUAGCUAUAUGCAAAAUGCAAAUCUGUAAACAUAAAAUAAAUUACAUAAUUUUAAUUUAGCCAUGGUGUCCAGCAUAUGGCAUAAAACUUCAAAGUUCAAACGUGUGUUUGUUUACCCACCUGCUGACAAUGUUUCUGCCUGUGAAAGAUGGCCCUUCUGGCGUUUGCCUGCCACAGUAAUGUACUUGUCCGUUUUCUUACAAAUGAUGCACAAUGCAGGAAGCACAGGACCUGCACAAGCUACCGGCAGGCCCGUCCUGGACCUAAGUUUCUUUGUCGGACAUUCAGAUAUUGAUGUGCUACUACUCGAUGACACAGACUGGUCUUUGUGAGCAUCUUGAACUUCAGGACGCUGUGUGACACGUUUCUCUGCCGCAUCCAAGCGCUUUUUGUCAAUGAAACGCCUGUAGCAAGUGGAGUGAAACCCAGCGUCUUCUGGAACAUUUUCAAACUCGAUUUCUAGACAAUGUUUGUAUGUUUCUGCUAUUCUCUGAUUCUCACCCUGCAAACCAAGCCACAGUUUGACGCUAUUUCUGAAUGCAUCCCACCGUGUGCGUGUAAAAUCCUUUGUUUCUUCUUUCUUUAUGGACGUGAGAUGCAUAUAGCAUUGUUUAUAAUCCUUUUUACGGAGUUUUGAAGGAGGUCUGGCCGUAAUUGCCUCUUCUUCGCUACUCAAUAUUGACAACAAGGGCGCAGACAUCUUGGACUCAUGUUUACAUGUCGUACAAAAAGCGACCGCCUGGGGCGGUCACACUGCACUUUUCGUUCCAUUGACUUCCAUUCAUAUGCAUGCGAAUGCGUCAGACCGGAAACGCAAGCUCAUGCGAAAAAUUUCACAUUUCGCUGCGUUCCAAAGUUCAAGUUUGGUGAACUCUGACCUGCAAAUUCGCAUCACGUGAAGACGGGGGGAUCAGUAGAAUAUCAAUACGUCACUGCGUGACCUCUCUGACAGAAAUUCAAAAAUUAAGGAAGCGCUAAUUUUAGCCGUAGCGCAGCAUCCUAUUUUAUAUAAUACAUCUUUAAAAGAUUAUAAAAAAAAAAAAGCUUCAUGGUUCGCAGUGUUAAUGGAAACAGGAACAGAUGGUACAUUUGAAUGAGGACACAUUUUAUAAUUUUUUAUUGCUUAGUGUGUAUUUAUAUAUAGAGAGAGACAGACAGAGAGUAAAACAUAAUAAAACGCUUUCGACGCCGUCGCAAAAGGCACAGUACAAGCACAUUAAUCCAUGUUAUGAUAACUGAGGGGAGACCGUUACCUGCUCCCGCCCAUAUUCGCAGCGGCAUCUGAAAAAAAUUUGCACGUUCAAAGUCUAGUGUGACCGCCCCUUUAUUGGUUGUGCUUCCCACACGUGACGCGAAGCCUAAUCACUCAUGAUCAAAAUAUGUUUAUGCGAGUAAGGAAUAUCGCCGACUUUAGACAUGUAUAAAAAAUAAACUGCAGGAUUAUAAAUGGAGAACUUUUAUUUUCUCGCUCAAAACCAAUAGAUCUUUUUAUUGAAAUGAAAAGAAUUUAGUGCCCCAUAUAUGGGAACGGCAUUAAAUGAAAAACGGCUUCACCUUAUGGCCUAAAUUGGAAUUAAGAUAUCUACAAUGUGAUUAUGGCCAGUCAUUAUAUGCAUUGAAGAUAUCUACAACAUACCUGUCAACAUUUGGGUCCCAAAAUACAGGAGACGGGGGUGGGGCAAAAGUAUCAAUUAUUAUAUUAUAUUAUUAUUAUAUUAAUUUAUUAUUUUAAUUUAAUUAUUAUCAAACAAUUAUUUAAACUGUGUGUUUUCUGCGUAUAAAGAAGGGUCAUUUUUGGCUUUGGACUAAAAUAAAAAAUAGAAGGGCUUAUUGAAAAAUGCUAAUUCAUUCUCUCUUCAUUCUUUUGCUUUUCGUCAGGAAUAUAGCCAUUUCCCCGGUAACCACAGUAAACAAAACAGCGCAGCACCUGAUUUUGCAACUUGCAGCUCUCAUAUUUAAUCAAUUAAACUAUAGCCUUUUGAUGUUCAAGCUAUCUCAAUUUUCAUGUAUAUUUGUUGAAGUUUUUUCACCGGAGCACCACCUGAGUCUUCUCCUGUUUCUAUCCUUUCCUUCCCGCGGUACUCGUCACUGUUGUAGGUUGCCAAGUUGAGGAAACAAAUGGUUUGAAACUUGUAUGUGUCAACUGUGUGAGAAGGAUGCGUUUCAUACAAGAUCUGGCAACUGGGCAACCUUGGAAUUUGUUUUCAUGAUUAUUCAUGUAGCCUAAUGAGGUUUGGGCCAUACAAAUUAUGGGAGUUUUACUGAAGGCGAAUGUAGCAAAAAUACACCCAGUGGUAUUUUUUUAUAGAAAUAUUACAAAUACGGGAGAAAUACGGGAAAAUAUUUAAACGGGAUGAUAGCGGGAUAGAAUGGUAAAAUACGGGAGAAUCCUGGGAAAAAUGGGAGGGUCCACAGGUAUGAUCUACAAUGCCAUUAUGACUAGUCAUAUUGUUCCAUUGACUUCAACUGGAAUAUAUUUUCGGAUAUCUACAAAUGAGCAUUUUGACUAGUAGAAAUUGUAAUUAAAGAUAUCUAUGAUUGAUUUUGUACUAGGCAUAAUUCUAAUUAGAGAUAUAUCCAAUUUCAAUUUAACUAGUGAUAAUUAAAUUAAAUACAACUCUAACUGAAUUAUUAAAUAUUAUAAUUCAAGAUAUCUCUAACUGGUGUUUGACUAGUCAUAAUCAUAUUGCAGAUAUCGUUAAUUCAUGAUUUCUUAAAGUUGUCCAAAAUACAUUUGCAGAUAUAUGAAAGAAAUUUAUUACUAGUUAAAUCACAGUAGUCUACAACGGGGCCCUUCCUUUUCCUCUCUAGCACCUCAGGAUGGCUUCGGCGGCUCGGGGUCCAGCACAACUCGUGGGCGGGGACCUUGACACUACGGAAGAGGAAGCGUUUCACCGACCUGGAGUGCUGUUUCAGCCCAGGCUCCGUCUUCCGCUGAGGCUGAGCAGCGGGGCUCUUCUGGCGACACAUAGCCGCAGUGCCAGGGCGUUUAGGGAGGAAGUGACACAGCGCCUGUGACGUCUUCUGAGCCUCCGAAAACCGUUCAGUGAACCCAUGUACAGCGGAGCCGAAUAGCCCCUUUCAGCAAGACUGGCGAGUCGAGGAAGGCCAUUUUCUCAGCAUCCCUGAUCUCUGUCAGCGUUAGCCAGAGGUGUUGCUCCAGCACCACCAGGCUGGCCAUGGUCUAGCUGAUUGCUUGCUCUGUGGCCUUUGUAGCAUGCAGAGCGAGAUCUGUUUACUGUGCGCAGCUCCUUAAAGGCCUCCUGGUGCUCUUAGCCAGACUCGUCCAUACUACGUAGAAGUUUGGCUUGAAACACUUGAAGGAUCGCCAUUGUGUCCAGCACCGAGCCGGCCUGUCCGGCUGCUGCAUUAAGCCCUGUUGGCGAUAGCCGAGGUGGUCCUGCAGGGCUUAGAUGGAUGCGCUGCACGGCCCUUUAAGCCGAGGGCAGAUGGUGGGCACAGAUGUGCUGCGAUCGCUUCCUCCAGUGGGGGAAGUUUGGUGUAUCCCUUUUCGUCAGUGCCGUCAAUGAUGGUGAGAGCUGCUGCAGUAGAGGGGUUUACCCGUGCCGAGUAGGGGGCUCGCCGUGGACGGCUGGCAAGAACAGGGCUGGGUGCUGGCCGGAGGAUUGCUGGCAGGUCUCUGGCAGGAACCAUUUGUCCAGUAAGCCAUGGGCGGGCUCGUCCGGAGCCGACCACUCGAGGCCCAGAUCCUCCACGGCCCUUAGCAAGGACGUGGAUUAGCUCGGCGUCCGACUUCGGCCUUGGCACCUGAGGGGGGAGGGGCUGCUUCAGGCUCCUCGCCGGAAUCACCCCAUUCCUCCGUUUCUGACGUCGACAAGGACACAGAGUCGUCGGCAGUGAAGUCAUCGAUGAUGAUGUCCUUCUCGGACGCGCCGAAUGAGACCAGUCUGCUCGCAGCUGAAGAGGUGCACUGGUCCUCAUUUGCGAAGCGGGGACACGGGGAGGGCAGAGCAUGCAGGUGCUGAGCCAACAUGACACUGCCCGAGCCCGCUGGAAAGGAUCCGCUGCCCUGCUGUUUUUUUCUCUUAGGGGAGGAACAAGACGGGAGGGCCUGGCGGGGGAGGUACAAGACGGGAGGGCCUGGCACAAGCAUAGACUAGAAAGGCUCAUGCUCUCGCAGAAAGAUCACAAGCCAUCAGCGAGCCAUCGUGCAAGAGCCCCUUGCACAAACCACACUCGCGGCGCAACAUUUGAAGCAACGCAUGCUGAAAUUUGCUCUUGGAAAUUUGCUCUUUGCUCUGGAUGCCGGAUGCCUGCAAUGAUGCUUACAUUUGCUGCUUUGGCUUUUUUCAUGGCGGUGAGCAGAGCUGGAGCUUCUUCUGGCAGAAGAGUCAGCGAAGAGAUGAUCCUCGUCGCUAAAGGAGAAUAAUCUGAUGAAUGGCGUUACGGGCCAAUUUAUAUAUCGGUUGGCCCCACCCCUUUUGGCGGGCUGAAGCGUCAUUGGUUUGUGCAGCUACACAAAUGUGAACAAAUCAGGCUUCAGCAGAAAGGCAAAAAGGAGUUUUCCCAUACAUAACAAGAGUGAACUUUCAAAAAGAAACCAGUUUUAUACAGUUGUGAAUGGAUUAUAUAUAGCACAGAAACCGCACAACGAGCACUACCUUUAUAAUUACUAUUUUUGCACUGAUUAGCUAUUAACUGUGAGCAGACAGAAGUUGCUUGUCAGGUUUUCCUAACAAGUAACCAUAUUUUUAAAAAUAAGCCCAAAAAACGCAACCCGCGACCCUGGAUUUUUUCACGCAACUUAAUAAGAGAAAUCUUCAAUUGGAAUUCUUCCUAGUCAAAUCUCAUUUAAAGAUAUCUGCAAUUUAAUUAUGGAUAUCUCAAUCUGAUUUUUGACUAGGAAAAUCUUUCUUUGGAGAUAUCUGCAUUUAGCUUUGUGAAUAGGAAGAAUUUCUAUAGAGAUACAUGUGACUAGUCAAAAUUCCUUUAUAGAUAUCUAAAAUGUGCAUGCAAAUACACCUUUGUUAAGCCCCACCUUAAACAUUUUAUUAACCAGUCCUACCUUGGAAACUGUUGUCAUCCGCCAUUUUGUCUGAGAGUUGUAUAAUAAAGGUCCUUUGUCUUUGGGUCAUUUUAAACUGUUUUAUACAGAAGUAAUUCAAAAGGAUUUAAAUAAAAAUGUAGCUGGAGCAUGUGUAAAAGUGGUAGGCUAUAUAAAGAGGACUCCGAUAACAGUUAGGCUUUUAUCCUAUUCUAUAUCGUAAUGUUGAGACGUUUGUGCUGUGGAUUAAAUUGUGUUAGCCUUUAUUUACAAACGAAUACAUGUAGAAUCAGUAGCUAAGGAUUUAUAUAGGCCUCAUGUCAGCUGUUGCAACAUUUGAUAUAAUGCUAAAAGAAUACAUUGGCGCUCAUCACUGAACACAGCAGAAUAUCAUCAUCAUCAUGGAUCUCUUGCUUUAAUACAAUACAAUACUCCCACCUUGUGGGCUACUUCCUAUGGAAGCAUGUUUCCAUCACUAAAUAAAGAAAUAAUAAAUAUAUAUAAAUAAAUAAAUAAAUAAAUAGCGACUUUUUAUCUCACAAUUCUGACUUUUUUUCUCAGAAUUGUGAGAUAUAGCUUAACACAAUGCAAACAAUUGUGAGUUAUAAAGUUUAUAACUCGCAUUGUUUAUAUCUCAUAAUU
ensembl:lncRNA